UUGCCCAUUUCUUAUGUGUUUAAAGACUAAUUAUAAGAAUAAAGAUUUAGUGAUCAAUGCAGAAUUCUAAUUUAAUUGUUGAGUAUUAGAAUGCAUUUUCUCCCCCUCUUCUAACUUAGAAACUGAAUUUUUUUUUUUUUUCAUUUUUUUCCUACCUGGCAAAAGCUAAUUUAAUCCAACUGGAUUGCACAUUCGAAAUGUACAGAAUUUUGGUCCGAUUUACCGAGUAUCACUCCCUGGAUAUAGCUCAAUUUUCCCUCACAGGACUGACAGAUGCCUAAAUGCAAGAGAUUGUUCUUGUCAAGGGAGGCACUGACACAAAUUCAGUUGUGUGGGUUGUUGGCUCUGUCUGAUGUUGUCCCUUCUAAUGCUACAGAACAAAUCACCUUGCACAAGACCCUGAGGACUGGGGCUGAUCAUGCUGAGAUUUGGGCAGCACCUCAUCAAGCCCUCGGUGGUGUUCCUGAGGACGGAGCUGUGCUUUGCCCUGGUGAACCGCAGGCCGGUGGUGCCAGGACGUAUCCUUUCCACAGCCGAUCCUGGGAAAAGCAGCACACGCUCGGGGAGCUUGGAAGGCCAGGUAGGAUGGAAUAAUAUUCCUGGUUUAUUCCAAAAACCAGGCAGUGAUGCUUGAUCAGAAGAUGCUUG
rnacentral:lncRNA from 1 species